rnacentral:other from 1 species
AGCUUUUACGAGGUAUCAGCACUUUUCUUUCAUUAGGGGGAAGGAGUGAGGAAAGUACCAAACAGCAGCAGACUUUUAAACUUUAAAUAGACAGGUCUGAGUGCCUGAACUUGCUUUUUCAUUUUACUUCAUCCUCUGAGGCGUGCCUACUUCACUUCUUUUAAGGGAAAGAGUAAGUUUUCAAA